rfam:Triticum aestivum genome assembly, contig: Triticum_aestivum_CS42_TGACv1_scaffold_556056_7AL
AUUCUACUCCCUCCGUUGCACAAUACAUGCCUUCUAUUUGUCAAAAUAUAUAUGUAUCUGGACUUGUCUUAGUAUAUAGGUACAUCCAUUUUUGGACAAAUGGAAGUCAAGUAUUUUGGAACGGAGGGAGUACACA